UUUUCUAAAAUCAGGAAUGAAAGAAUAGAUGUUACCACCACACUUACAGAAAUAAAAAAGGCUGUAAAGGAAUAGUAUGAACCACUGAGAUCAACAAAUUACAAUAAAAAACUAUGUGAAAUGGACACAUGCCUACAAAUACAGAAGC